rnacentral:misc_RNA from 1 species
GAUGAAGAACGUAGCGAAAUGCGAUACUUGGUGUGAAUUGCAGAAUCCCGUGAACCAUCGAGUCUUUGAACGCAAGUUGCGCCCGAAGCCAUCAGGUUGAGGGCACGUCUGCCUGGGCGUCACAUAUCGUUGCCCAAUGCCUAUUGCAGUGCAAUAGGAAUUUCUAGGGCGAAUGAUGGCUUCCCGUGAGCGUUGUUGCCUCGCGGUUGGUUGAAAAUCGAGUCCUUGGUAGGGUGUGCCAUGGUAGAUGGUGGUCGAGUUAGAACGAUACCGAUCAUGUGCAUGCUACCCAAAAUAUGGCCUCUAUGACCCACACGCGUCUUUUGACGCUCAUGACGAGACCUCAGGUCAGGCGGGGCUACCCGCUGAAUUUAAGCAUAUCAAUAAGCGGAGGA